GACGAACGCUGGCGGCGUGCUUAACACAUGCAAGUCGAACGGAAAGGCCCUGCUUUUGUGGGGUGCUCGAGUGGCGAACGGGUGAGUAACACGUGAGUAACCUGCCCUUGACUUUGGGAUAACUUCAGGAAACUGGGGCUAAUACCGGAUAGGAGCUCCUGCUGCAUGGUGGGGGUUGGAAAGUUUCGGCGGUUGGGGAUGGACGCGCGGCUUAUCAGCUUGUUGGUGGGGUAGUGGCUUACCAAGGCUUUGACGGGUAGCCGGCAGGAGAGGGUGACCGGCCACAUUGGGACUGAGAGACGGACCAGACUCCUACGGGAGGCAGCAGUGGGGAAUAUUGCACAAUGGGCGGAAGCCUGAUGCAGCAACGCCGCGUGCGGGAUGACGGCCUUCGGGUUGUAAACCGCUUUCGCCUGUGACGAAGCGUGAGUGACGGUAAUGGGUAAAGAAGCACCGGCUAACUACGUG
rnacentral:rRNA from 1 species